UACGGAGGGGGCUAGCGUUGUUCGGAAUUACUGGGCGUAAAGCGCGCGUAGGCGGACCUGCAAGUCGGGGGGUGAAAGCCCGAGGCUCAACCUCGGAACUGCCUUCGAUACUGCGGGUCUCGAGUCCGGGAGAGGUGAGUGGAAUUCCUAGUGUAGAGGGUGAAAUUCGUAGAUAUUAGGAAGAACACCAGUGGCGAAGGCGGCUCACUGCCCGGUACUGACGCUGAGGCACGAAAAGCGUGGGGGAGCAAAACAGGG
rnacentral:rRNA from 1 species